rnacentral:rRNA from 1 species
AUUGAACGCUGGCGGCAGGCCUAACACAUGCAAGUCGAGCGAGCGGCGGACGGGGGAGUAAUGUAUGGGGACUGCCCGAUAGAGGGGGAUAACUCCUGGAAACGGCGGCUAAUACCGCAUACUAUCGGAUAACCCAUAUGGGUUUAGCUAGUAGGUGGGGUAAAGGCUCACCUAGGCGACGAUCUCCAGCUGGUCUGAGAGGAUGAUCAGCCACCCUGGGAGUGAGACACGGCCCAGACUCCUACGGAGGCAGCAGGGGGGAAUAUUGCGCAUGGGGCGCAAGCCUGAUGCAGCCAUGCCGCGUGUGUGAAGAAGGCCGGAGGGUUGUAAAGUUCUUUCAGCGGGGAGGCGUUACCCGCAGAAGACGCACCGGCUAACUCCGUGCCAGCAGCCGCGGUAAUAC